rnacentral:rRNA from 1 species
GAUGAACGCUGACAGAAUGCUUAACACAUGCAAGUCUACUUGAACUUCGGUUUGGGUGGCGGACGGGUGAGUAACGCGUAAGGAACUUGCCUCACAGUUAGGGACAACAUUUGGAAACGAAUGCUAAUACCUGAUAUUAUGAUUUUAGGGCAUCCUAAAAUUAUGAAAGCUAUAUGCGCUGUGAGAGAGCUUUGCGUCCCAUUAGCUAGUUGGAGAGGUAACGGCUCACCAAGGCGAUGAUGGGUAGCCGGCCUGAGAGGGUGAACGGCCACAAGGGGACUGAGACACGGCCCUUACUCCUACGGGAGGCAGCAGUGGGGAAUAUUGGACAAUGGACCAAAAGUCUGAUCCAGCAAUUCUGUGUGCACGAUGACGUUUUUCGGAAUGUAAAGUGCUUUCAGUUGGGAAGAAAAAAAUGACGGUACCAACAGAAGAAGUGACGGCUAAAUACGUG